UACGUAGGGUGCAAACGUUGUUCGGAAUCACUGGGCCUAAAGAGCGCGUAGGCGGUCUGACAAGUCCCCUGUGAAAGCCCCCGGCUUAACCGGGGAACUGCAUGGGAUACUGUUGGGCUAGAGUGCAGGAGGGGAGAGCGGAAUUCCUGGUGGAGCGGUGAAAUGCGUAGAUAUCAGGAGGAACGCCGGCGGCGAAGGCGGGUCUCUGGGCCGAUACUGACGCUGAGGAGCGAAAGCGUGGGGAGCGAACAGG
rnacentral:rRNA from 1 species